GAGCAGCCAGAAGCAAGGUGGGGUGAACCAGACAGAGCUGGAGUGCUCUCCCACCCCUGCUUUGCCCAGCCACCCCGCCAAGCCCAUGAUUCCAGGCAGGAGACAAGGUCUCAUUCUGUUGCCUAGGCUGGAGUGCAGUGGUGCAAUCAUGGUUCACUGCAGCCUGGAACUCCAGGGCUCAGGCAAUCCUCCUGCCUCAGCCUGCCGAGUAGCUGUGACCAGAGGUGUGCGCCACCAUGACCAGCUAAGAUUUCACCAUGUUGCACAGCUGGUCUUGAACUCCUGGCCUCAAGCAAUGCUCCUGCUUCAGGCUCUCAAGUUGCUGGAAUUACAGGGCUGCACGGAGCCUGCCGAGUCUCCAACCCACCUCGCUCGCCGCUCUGACUGCCGACAGGCAGAGCGAAGGAUGCGCGAGUUGCCUCUGCUGCCCAUCUAAGGGGACGUGGGCAGAGAAGCAAAGGCCUCUACUCUCCCUCCACCCAUCCCAAUGUGCUGGCCCCAACGGAACAGGAGUCCUUCAGCUAUUGCCUGCCAGAGACCCAACGGCAGGGACUGGAGUCUGCGUCUGGGUGAGCUGAGCUGAGCUGUAGAUUGAAGUCUCAGAAGCAGGGAAGGUUGGAAGGGGUAGGGUCCCAGAGCCCAUGGGGUUAUUGCUGAGAAGAUAUGCAGGGGACACAUUCCCCAGGGGCAGAGUAGAAGCCCUGGGCCUGGAAUCUCCGGGGGCUCUGUGAAGGGGCAGGGCAGAUGGGGACUCCUUGUGGAAGCCCCAGGGAAGAAAUUGACCAUGGAAGGACAUAGCCUGCCUGAAGUCAACGCUGGGCUCACCAGCUCCUUGCUUUGUAUCUCCAAUUGCUAAGAGACCUUCAGACUGGGGUCAGGUGGGAUAAGGAAGCAAGGUUUUUGUUAAAUGAGUGAAAGGAGUCCAUGAAGAAUGAUGACAAAGUGCUGCAAACCUUCCCAGGUC